UACGUAGGGUGCAAGCGUUGUCCGGAAUUAUUGGGCGUAAAGAGCUCGUAGGCGGUCUGUUGCGUCGGCUGUGAAAACCCGGGGCUCAACCCCGGGCCUGCAGCCGAUACGGGCAGACUAGAGUUCGGCAGGGGAGACUGGAAUUCCUGGUGUAGCGGUGAAAUGCGCAGAUAUCAGGAGGAACACCAGUGGCGAAGGCGAGUCCCUGGACGAUACCUGACACUGAGGCACGAAAGCUAGGGGAGCAAACAGG
rnacentral:rRNA from 1 species